AGUGUGGACGCCAGUCUGCAUGGAGCCGACCUUGAAAUACCACCCUUUAAUGUUUGAUGUUCUAACGUUGACCCGUAAUCCGGGUUGCGGACAGUGUCUGGUGGGUAGUUUGACUGGGGCGGUCUCCUCCUAAAGAGUAACGGAGGAGCACGAAGGUUGGCUAAUCCUGGUCGGACAUCAGGAGGUUAGUGCAAUGGCAUAAGCCAGCUUGACUGCGAGCGUGACGGCGCGAGCAGGUGCGAAAGCAGGUCAUAGUGAUCCGGUGGUUCUGAAUGGAAGGGCCAUCGCUCAACGGAUAAAAGGUACUCCGGGGAUAACAGGCUGAUACCGCCCAAGAGUUCAUAUCGACGGCGGUGUUUGGCACCUCGAUGUCGGCUCAUCACAUCCUGGGGCUGAAGUAGGUCCCAAGGGUAUGGCUGUUCGCCAUUUAAAGUGGUACGCGAGCUGGGUUUAGAACGUCGUG
rnacentral:rRNA from 1 species